ensembl:snRNA U6 U6 spliceosomal RNA
AUUUAACACUCAAUAAGCAUCAAUUUCAGCUUCUGCAAUACAGAGAAGAUUGGCAUGGCCCCUGCAUAAGGGUGACACACAAAUUCGUGAAGGGUUCCAUAUUUUU